rnacentral:misc_RNA from 1 species
UUGGAUUAAGCGUGGUGCCGUCACGCCAAUUGAACGAUUUCCCGUGAAAGAUGUGUUGCGCCUUCAGCAGUGGUUAAAAGAAAUGAAGAGGAAGGACUGGAAGUCAAACCGAAAUAGCACAUUGUGUUCAGCUCAUUUUGCAAAUGACUGCUUUGAUAGGACAGGAUUCCUAAUUACAUUGAAAAAGAACAGUGUACCAACUAUAUUUGACAACCCAAAAUCAGAGUGUUCAUCUUGUCACCGAUUAAGGGAAUGUGGACAUGGCUACUCAUUGUUCAAGUUCCCAUUGGAUGAACCUGAUAUUAUGAAGCAGUGGAUCGCAAAUAUAAACAUUGGACCGUGGUCUCCAUCAAGUGAUAGCUUUCUGUGUUCCGACCACUUUGAACCCUCUUGCUUUCAGAAGAAAAGUAAAAAUUAUAUAACUUUACCAAAAGGCAGUAUCCCAACGUUAUUUGGUGAAAACUUGCAGCAGACCGAAUUUCAGGAUGAAUCCGAUCGGCCCACCACAGUGAAUGUAACCAAAUUACAUGAUCACCUACACAUUUGUACCUGAUUUGCAUGCUCAGCUCCACUUUGAUGAUCAAUGGAUGGUAAAUGGAUUCCCUAACGGUUGAAUUAGUGUUAUACAAAUGUUUGAAUAAUCCGUAUGGAAUUCAGCCCACCAUAGGAUAAAGGGUAAUGGACGAAAACUUCUCAGAAUUGAGGACUUCUUUUGAACAUAAAGAAAAAUCACGCUUAAAUACAAGUUUUUCGUCAUAUUAUUUAAUGAUC